rnacentral:rRNA from 1 species
UAAUUGUCUCAAGUGAAGCAAGAAAACCCGCUGAACUUAAACAUAUCACUAAGCGGAGGAAAAGAAACUAACCAGGAUUCCCCCAGUAGCGGCGAGCGAACGGGGAUUAGCCCAGGCUUGAAAGGACGCCAGCGAGAUCUCGCGCGGGCGUCCGAUGUGGCCUGAGAGUCACAGCGAGGCCCGGCCCUGCGGGCAAGUCCAGUGGAAACUGGCGCCAGUGAGGGUGAUAGCCCCGUAAACCGCAGACUAUGGCCGGGCAUGGAGUUGCGACUCGUGGAGUAGUGCUGCACGGCAUUGCAGCAUGAAUCAGGUGGUAAACCCCAUCUAAGGCUAAAUACUCACGAGAGACCGAUAGCAAACAAGUACCGCGAGGGAAAGUUGAAAAGAACUUUGGAAAAAGAGUUAAAAGAGCCUGAAAUUGCAGAGGCGCAAGCCUUUCUGCCGCAUGUAUACUCGUAUGCUUUCUAAAAAAAGGCGGUAGCAAGGGCCCGUCUUGAAACACGGACCAAGGAGUCUGGCGCGUAGGCGAGUACUCUGGUGCAAAACCAUAAUGCGCAGCGAAAGCGAAUCUCUGCAGCUGCGAUUUAUUCAAAUCGCAGCGGUCGGAGGAGCGUGCGCUGCUCCGCGCAGCGUUCGGCAAGAGUCUACGCGCCGGGACCCGAAAGGUGGUGAACUAUGCCUGGGUAGGGUGAAGCCAGGGGAAAUUCUGGUGGAGGCCCGCAGCGAUACUAACGUGCAAAUUGUUCGUCAAAUCUGGGCAUAGGGGCGAAAGACCAAUCGAACCACCUAGUAGCUGGUUCCCUGCGAAGUUUCCCUCAGGAUAGCGGAGGCCCAUGCAGAACAGUUUGGUCUGGUAAAGCUGAUGAUUAGAGGCUUCCCGGGGCGCAACGCCCUGGACCUUUUCUCAAACUUUGAACGGGCCAGUUCCGUGGUUGCUUGACUGAACCACGGACUUGAAUGUGGGGCCUCUAGUGGGCUGUUACUGGUAAGCAGUACCGGCGAUGCGGAUUGAACCGGACGCGCGGGUUAAGGUGCCUAAGGACCGCUAAUUUAGAUCGAAAGGUGUGGGUUUAUCUUGACAGCCGGGCGGUGGUCAUGGAAGUUGAAACCCGCUAAGUAGUGUGUAACAACUAACCGGUCGAAUAAACCUGCCCUGAAAAUUGAUGGCGCUCAAGCGGUCCACCGAAACCCGGCCGCCGGCGCAACGCUAGGCGCCGGCGAGUAGCAGGGCGUGGGGGUCGCGUCGAAGCGUGGGCGCGAGCUCGCGUGGAGCGGCCUCUAGUGCAGAUCUUGGUGUUAGUAGCAAAUAGCAGGGUGCGAACCCCUGCGGCUGAAGUGGAGAAGGGUUCCGUGACAACAGCACAUGGUCACGGGUUAGUCGAUCCUAAGGCCGUGAGUAAUUGCAGUGAACGUGCGCUUUUUGCACAGGCCGAAAGGGAACCCGGCGAACAUUCCGGGACCAGGGUCCGCGUGCGGCAACGCGGCGCCCUCUGGGGACGCUAGGGCUGGCUUCGAGGAGAGUUUUCUCAUCUCCCUAACGCCGCAAUUCGGCUCGGAAACAGGUUGCCUGGAGAAGAGCCGAGUGCAGAGGAAAGGCGCCGGUAACCUGGCGUUCGAAACGCCGGUCUUAGCCCUUGAAAACCCGGGGGCAGCGGGCUCUGAUCGUACCCAUAACCGCAUCAGGUCUCCUAGGUGCACAGCCUCUAGCCAAUGGAAUAAUGCAGCUAAGGGAAUUCGGCAAAAUGGGUCCGAAACUUCGGGAUAAGGACUGGCUCUUGGGGCUGGGCGUACGCGGCCCCUGUACCUCUAAAUCUGGAGUCUUUCGCUUGUUUGCGAUCCGGCUUUCUUUUUUUAUAAAAAAGGGAGGCGGUGAGCCAGCCUGGGGGAGGCAAUAUUUCUGGAGGUUAGGGGGCUGCCCGCCAGAUCAGCCUACCAAGAACUGGAGCGGACAAGGGGAAUCCGACUGUUUAAUUAAAACAUAGCAUUGCGAUGGUCUUGGCGGAUGUUGACGCAAUGUGAUUUCUGCCCAGUGCUCUGAAUGUCACCGAGACGAGAUUCUCUCAAGCGCGGGUCAACGGCGGGAGUAACUAUGACUCUCUUAAGGUAGCCAAAUGCCUCGUCAUUUAAUUGGUGACGCGCAUGAAUGGAACAACGAGACUCCCACUGUCCCUAGCUGCGAUCCAGCGAAACCACAGCCAAGGGAACGGGCUUGGGAUUAUCAGCGGGGCAAGAAGACCCUGUUGAGCUUGACUCUAGUCUGACGCUGUGCGACAGCUCGGAGGGUGUAGCAUAAGCGGGAGCGCAAGCGACAGUGAAAUACCGCUACCUCUGACGCUGUUGCACUUACCCGGUUACUAGCAACGGGCUUCGGCCCUCGUGUAUACCGCAAGCUCCCGUCGCGCCACAGGUGGGCCUACCCGCUUGUGGCCAGGCAGGGCGAUGCUCGCCGGAGACACCGCCAGGUUGGGAGUUUGGCUGGGGCGGCACAUCUGUUAAACGAUAACACAGGUGUCCUAAGAUCAGCUCAGCAAGACCGGAAAUCUCGCGUUGCGCAUAAGGGCAAAAGCUGAUUUUAUUUCUAUUCUCAGUGGGAAUAGAACUUGUGAAAGCAUGGCCUAUCGAUCCUCUGGUCGUCGGGGCUUGACGCCAGAGGUGUCAGAAAAGUUACCACAGGGAUAACUGGCUUGUGGCAGCCAAGCGUACACAGCGACGUUGCUUUUUGAUUCUUCGAUGUCGGCUCUUCCUAUCCUUGCCUUGCACACGGGGCAAAUGGUGAGAUUGUUCACCUACUAGUAGGGAACGUGAGCUGGGUUUAGACCGUCGCGAGACAGGUUAGUUUUACCCUCCUGUGGUCUGAAGCUUUGACUAAGUCUAAGCUUGUCGUGUCGCUAUGGAAGUUGUGGCCAGUACGAGAGGAACGUCACAACCGAACCUCUGGUCCCGGACUCGGCCGAGAGGCCGGUGGUCCCAGGCUACGUUCGUACAAGUAAGGCCGAACGCCUCUUAAGCCUGAAACCAUUCCAGAACAUGAGCGACGCUAUCAGCAGUUGGCCUCUACGCUACGCGCUUGCGCGUGUGUGGCAUCGGGUGCUAGCACCUCAGGUCUCCUUGUGGGGCCUGUACAGGUGUAA